GGUUCAUUACCGAGUUUUCAACUCCCAAACCCCUGUGAACAUACCAUUUUGUUGCCUCGGCGGUGCCUGUUCCGACAGCCCGCCAGAGGACCCCCAACCCAAACUUCCUUGAGUGAGUCUUCUGAGUAACCGAUUAAAUCAAUCAAAACUUUCAACAACGGAUCUCUUGGUUCUGGCAUCGAUGAAGAACGCAGCGAAAUGCGAUAAGUAAUGUGAAUUGCAGAAUUCAGUGAAUCAUCGAAUCUUUGAACGCACAUUGCGCCCGCCAGUAUUCUGGCGGGCAUGCCUGUUCGAGCGUCAUUACAUCCCUCAAGCCCCCGGGCUUGGUGUUGGGGAUCGGCGAGCCUUAGCGCCCGCCGUCCCCUAAAUUUAGUGGCGGUCACGCUGUAACUUCCUCUGCGUAGUAGCACACUUAGCACUGGGAAACAGCGCGGCCACGCCGUAAAACCCCCCAACUUUUGAACGUUUGACCUCGAAUCAGGUAGGACUACCCGCUGAACUUAAGCAUAUCAAUAAGCGGAGGAAAAGAAACCAACAGGGAUUGCCCUAGUAACGGCGAGUGAAGCGGCAACAGCUCAAAUUUGAAAUCUGGCCUUCGGGUCCGAGUUGUAAUUUGUAGAGGAUGCUUUUGGUGAGGUGCCUUCCGAGUUCCCUGGAACGGGACGCCAUAGAGGGUGAGAGCCCCGUCUGGUUGGACACCGAUCCUCUGUAAAGCUCCUUCAACGAGUCGAGUAGUUUGGGAAUGCUGCUCUAAAUGGGAGGUAUAUGUCUUCUAAAGCUAAAUAUUGGCCAGAGACCGAUAGCGCACAAGUAGAGUGAUCGAAAGAUGAAAAGCACUUUGAAAAGAGAGUUAAAAAGUACGUGAAAUUGUUGAAAGGGAAGCGCUCAUGACCAGACUUGGGCUUGGUUGAUCAUCCAGGGUUCUCCCUGGUGCACUCUUCCAGUUCAGGCCAGCAUCAGUUCGCUGCGGGGGAUAAAGGCUUUGGGAAUGUGGCUCCUUCGGGAGUGUUAUAGCCCAUUGUGUAAUACCCUGUGGUGGACUGAGGACC
rnacentral:rRNA from 1 species